GACGAACGCUGGCGGCGUGCUUAACACAUGCAAGUCGAACGGAAAGGCCCCGCUUUUGUUGGGUGCUCGAGUGGCGAACGGGUGAGGAACGCGUGAGUAACCUGCCCUUGACUCUGGUACUACUUCACGGAACUGGAGCUAAGACCGGAUGGGAGCUCCUGCGGCAUGGGGGUGGUGGGACAGUGUCGGCGGUUGGGGAUGGACGGGUGGCUUAUCCGCUUGUUGGCGGGGUAGUGGCUUAGCAGGGCUUCGACGGCGAGCCGGCCUGAGAGGGUGACCGGCCACACUGGGACCGAGAUACGGCCCAGAGUGCUACGGGAGGCAGAAGUGGGGAAUAUUGGACACUGCGCGGAAGCGGGAUGCAGCAACGCCGCGUGGGGGAGGACGGCCUUCGGGUUGUAAGCCGGUUUGGCCUGUGGCGAAGCGGGAGUGACGGUAAUGGGUAAAGAAGCACCGCUUACUUACUU
rnacentral:rRNA from 1 species